rnacentral:snRNA from 1 species
UCCUUCGGGGAGAAGUCCACUCU